GCUCCCAUAGCUCAGUCGGUAGUAGCGCUUCCAUGGUAAGGAAGAGGUCACCAGUUCGAGUCUGGUUGGGAGCU
rnacentral:tRNA from 2 species